rnacentral:rRNA from 1 species
CCCUUAGACGUUCUGGGCCGCACGCGCGCUACACUGACGAAGGCAACGAGCUUUCCUUUACCGAAAGGUACGGGUAAUCUUUUGAAACUUCGUCGUGCUGGGGAUAGAUCCUUGCAAUUUUUGAUCUUAAACGAGGAAUUCCUAGUAAGCGCAAGUCAUCAACUUGCGUUGAUUACGUCCCUACCCUUUGUACACACCGCCCGUCGCUACUACCGAUUGAAUGGUUUAGUGAGGCCUUCGGAUCCGCGACUCGUUUUGUGGAGAAGUUGGACAAACUCAGUCAUUUAGAGGAAGUAAAAGUCGUAACA